AUUGAACGCUAGCGGGAUGCCUUACACAUGCAAGUCGAACGGAGUGGCGAACGGGUGAGUAAUGUAUCGGAACGUGCCCAGUAGCGGGGGAUAACUACGCGAAAGCGUAGCUAAUACCGCAUACUAUUGGCGCGGCCGAUAUCGCAAUAGCAAGUUGGUGGGGUAACGGUUCACCGAGGCGACGACCCCUAGCUGAUUUGAGAGGAUGACCAGCCACACUGGGACGGAGACACGGACCAGACUCCUAAGGGAGGCAGGAGUGGGGAAUUUUGGACAAUGGGGGAAACCCUGAUCCAGCCAUCCCGCGUGUGCGAUGAAGGCCUUCGGGUUGUAAAGCACUUUUAGCAGGAAAGCGGUACCUGCAGAAGAAGAACCGGCUAACUACGUGCCAGCAGCCGCGGUAAUAC
rnacentral:rRNA from 1 species